rnacentral:rRNA from 1 species
AGCGAACGCUGGCGGCAGGCUUAACACAUGCAAGUCGAGCGGGCAUCCUUGUGGGGUCAGCGGCAGACGGGUGAGUAACGCGUGGGAACGUGCCCUUCGGUUCGGAAUAACUCAGGGAAACUUGAGCUAAUACCGGAUACGUGCGAGAGCAGAAAGGUUUAUCUGCCGAAGGAUCGGCCCGCGUCUGAUUAGCUAGUUGGUGAGGUUACGGCUCACCAAGGCGACGAUCAGUAGCUGGUCUGAGAGGAUGAUCAGCCACACUGGGACUGAGACACGGCCCAGACUCCUACGGGAGGCAGCAGUGGGGAAUAUUGGACAAUGGGGGCAACCCUGAUCCAGCCAUGCCGCGUGAGUGAUGACGGCCUUAGGGUUGUAAAGCUCUUUUCUCCGGGACGAUAAUGACGGUACCGGAGGAAUAAGCCCCGGCUAACUUCGUG